AGUACAUAUACUAAAAAAAAAAAUUGGAACGAUACAGAGAAGAUUAGCAUGGUCCCUAUGCAAGGAUGACAUGCAAAUUCGUGAAGGAUUCCAUAUUUAC
ensembl:snRNA U6 U6 spliceosomal RNA